UUGAAUUUAAUUAAAGCUAGGUUUAGAAAUCAAACCUUAAGCUUCAUCUCUCCCUAUUUCGCCUGAUUUCCUUCCUCAUGCCCGAUUCCCUUCUCCCUCACGCGCCGCUCUCCCUCUUGUUUACUCAUCGCUGGCCAUUGAGCUCCGACACCGGUGAGUCCCGAUCACCGACCGCCCAACCCUACUAGCGUCUAAUCGCCCGAGCGCCGUGUCGCCCUUAUUGCCGAUCGCCCUAGCGCUGCCGCCCCCUUCGCGUACCAAGAGCCACUCGAGCUCCACUCGAGUGUCAUCGCUUGUCACCCUGAUCACAGAGUGCGGUGCCGUCGUGUGUGCCAGAUCGCCAGCACAGUCGUUCACUUCUCCUCCGAAUGUUGAAGUUAGAUCUGUCGCCGACCCUCUCUUCCCUUUCAUCGUCGGCACAGAUCUAUGCUAUUAUCGUCGUGAGGGUUGAACCGCCGACCUUCCCCUAGUUCUGAUGCAUCACCGUCCCUCAUUUAGUUGACCUGAGCCCCAGUCGGCCACCAUCGUCGCCAUUUUUUUUUCGAUCACCAGUCGAAGACCAUCAGAGUAUUCUGGUGCCAAUGAUCGCAUUGAAGCAACAUUUAACGUUCAUCCGAGGGGAAUUUAUGGAUCUGGAUCAAGGGUCAAGUAAAGGAUGCUUGGUUUGGACAUUCGCAACAACAACCUUCUCCGGUUACGAGUUAACAAUGGAAUACACUGAUUUAGGCAAG